UUGCUUUGGCAGCACAGAUACUAAAAUGGGAAUGAUACAGAGAAGGUUAGCAUGCCCCACGCACAAACAUGGGCCUCAAAUCCUUAAAUUACUUCACACUAUA